rnacentral:tRNA from 2 species
UACACUUUGGUGUAUGAGGCACACGAGCUUUUGAUGCUCUUGGGGUAGUUUAAUUCUACAAUGUGUAA